rnacentral:rRNA from 1 species
ACGGGGCCCGCACAAGCGGUGGAGCAUGUGGUUUAAUUCGACGCAACGCGAAGAACCUUACCUACCCUUGACAUCGUGCGAACUUGGUAGAGAUACCUUGGUGCCUUCGGGAGCGCACAGACAGGUGCUGCAUGGCUGUCGUCAGCUCGUGUUGUGAAAUGUUGGGUUAAGUCCCGUAACGAGCGCAACCCUUGUCCUUAUUUGCCAGCGCGUAAUGGCGGGAACUCUAAGGAGACUGCCGGUGACAAACCGGAGGAAGGUGGGGACGACGUCAAGUCAUCAUGGCCCUUACGGGUAGGGCUACACACGUGCUACAAUGGCCAGUACAAAGGGUUGCGAAGCCGCGAGGUGGAGCUAAUCCCGAAAAGCUGGUCUCAGUCCGGAUCGGAGUCUGCAACUCGACUCCGUGAAGUCGGAAUCGCUAGUAAUCGUGAAUCAGAAUGUCACGGUGAAUACGUUCCCGGGCCUU